GACGAACGCUGGCGGCGUGCUUAACACAUGCAAGUCGAACGGAAAGGCCCUGCUUGCAGGGUCCUCGAGUGGCGAACGGGUGAGUAACACGGGGGUGCUCUGCCCUGCACUUCGGGAUAAGCCUGGGAAACUGGGUCUAAUACCGGAUAGGAGCCAUUUUUAGUGUGAUGGUUGGAAAGUUUUUUCGGUGUAGGAUGAGCUCGCGGCCUAUCAGCUUGUUGGGGGGGUAAUGGCCUACUAAGGCGGCGACGGGUAGCCGGCCUGUGAGGGUGGACGGCCACAUUGGGACUGAGAUACGGCCCAGACUCCGACGGGAGGCAGCAGUGGGGAAGAUUGCACAAUGGGCGCAAGCCUGAUGCAGCGACGCCGCGUGGUGGAUGACGGCCUUCGGGUUGUAGACUCCUUUCGCGAGGGACGAAGCUUUUUGUGACGGUACCUAGAGAAGAAGCACCGGCUAACUACGUG
rnacentral:rRNA from 1 species